UUUCAUUAUAUCAAAUUAAUAUAGUUAUUGCAUACUUUUGCUCAUAUAUAUGCUUAUAUGAUAUGUAGUUAUUUUAUGUUGAUGCUUGUGUAUAUUGUUGUGACAAAAAAAAAUAUUCGAGUCUGGUGGCAUAAGGUAUUCUGUUGCGAGCAGAGGAGUGGCGGACUCUCAACCUUAGGGUCCUAAAUGAGGUUUGACAUUGCUACCACUUGACCACGACCCAUAUAAACAAAAGAUCAUGGAAAAAUAGCUGGUAAUGCAAGUUGGAAAUACUUCCUGAAAACAAUUCAUUUUCCAAAUUUUGUAUAAUUAAAAAAUUCAAGGGUGUUGAAUAAGAAAAAUCGACUGAUUUUUUUUGUUUUAAAUUAAAAAUUUCUUGAGGGACAGAAGUACCUAUGGAGCUUGUAUUGUUAUAUGAUUUGUUACUCCAGUCUGACCUCCUUUUAAUUAUCUUUUCAAUUAGUAGGAUAGCAGAUAAUCAUGCCGAGGUGCGAGUAAUAAGAUCGUUAUUUCUGAUACAUAGAAGCAACAGCACAAUUCUCUGUCCUUGGAGAAGAUAUGAUGUGUUGGAAACAGUGAUUCAUGGUUAUGACAAGUAUAAAUGCUCACUACAGACCUUCUGGAAAAUCUGUGAAAUAACUCAUGCUAUGGAACUCAAACUUCCAUCUGAGACAACCAGCAUGGCCACUCAGGAUGAUGGUAAUUGGAAUCGUUUACCAUACAGAAGACUGCAAGUUACACAUUUUUUGCCUUCUAACAUUUUCAGAAACAAAGAAUGAGAGUUGAGAAAGGAUCUGUGAUGCUUCUGAAGCCAGAGAAAAAGGCUGAAAAUAUAUUCUCUAAUAUGCUUGAAAGCAUCCCUGGAUGACAAGCAAAUAUUUCAAACUAAACUGUAUUAUUGACUCUAAGCACUUAUAAUCACUUCAGUUUUUCAAAUAUAGUCACUUGUGUAUGAAAAUCUGGUGUACCUCUACACCUGGAGACAAAGUUGAAACUAAGUUAACAGAGAAUUUCUUUCCAAUGGUUACAUCAGCUUCAGUGUACUGCCCUCCAGAUAUAAUGUGCAGCUACCAUUUGCAACCACUACCUGGAAGGUUGGGUUUGGGAGUGUCACAGCCCAAUAUAUCUGGAGGCAAGCUGGGAAAAGGCCACAUAGAACCAUUUCUUUUAUUUUAGUGUUGCCUCUGGUCAAUCGAUUAGGGAAAGAUUUGAACUAAUAUGUAGAACCUAUUUGAGCAGAGACAAAAUAUUUAUUUCAAAGCAGGGAUUCUGCUGUUAAAAUGAUUUCAGUUAUUUGAAAGAAAAAUAAUUAUCUAACUAUGUUUGAUAUCAACAAUUCUGUAUUUGCAGUUGGAAGAAAGGAAUUUCUAGGUGGAACAUGUUUUUGUGAACAUCCUCACUUUAUAAAACAUAGCUAUUUUCUUAAUCAAGUCUGACUCUGUUUGGCAUUGUAAUGUGACAGGUAAACAAGCUUUUCAAAAAUUAAGGCUGGAUUAAAUCUUUUAGCCUUCAAGUCUUUCAAAUAUCAUGCUCAGUGGUGGGAUUCGCGUAAUUUAACAACCGGUUCUCUGCCCUAAUGAUUUCUUCCAACAACCAGUUUGCCAAACUGCUCAGAUAGUUAACAGCCGGUUCUCCCAAAGUGGUGCGAACUGGCUGAAUCCCACCACUGAUCAUGCUGCUUGUGAGUAAAACAGAGCUGACUCCCGCUCAAGAGAGCUUGCAGAUCUCCUGGAAGCUUUUCAAAGUACUCGAGGGAGAUCUAUUCCAUAAUUUAAGAUGCAUUUUGUACAAAGCGCCUAUUGAAUUUUCAGCAUCAAUGCUUCCAUUUAAUCUGGAAACUGCAAGCCCAAUUCUCUGGGAUGUAUUAUGAAUACUACUUAUAGAUAGCUAUUUUCCUUAGCCAAAGCAAGAUAACUUCUGCUUUUAUUCUUUUAAAAAUAUGAUUUUUAAAAGAAGAAAUUGAUUUCUUGCAAAAUAUGAAAGGGAUAUUUUUGGAGCAGUUACCACAUUCUUUUUUGUUCUUAGCAUUAAAUAUUUGUUCAGCAACCCGUCUCAACAUUUUUUAAAUCUGCGUUUUGCUCAUUGUAUUUACCUCUAGAGCUUAUUAUGCUGCAGAAUAUUUUUAUUUUUUUUAAAAAUGUAUGCGAAGAGAUUUUGAAUGAACUUCACUUGAUGAGAAAUCUAUGUUGCACAUCAAUCUAUACACUGGGGCAAACUUGUGGCAUAGACUUCCUUGUAACACUGCAGAUAGAUUGGACAUACCUAUUUCACUAUUUUUAUCUACCCACAAGUUAAGGUAUCGGGCAAAGUUGACAGUUGGCUUCUGUCAACUUAGCUAAGUGGGCAAAGAGUGAAAAUAAAUGUAUACAUCUGUCUUAUAUACUCACAUUGUGUGAAGUGUUUAUAGGAUAUCUGCAUCGAAUGUAUAGUGAGUUGUAGUUCUCAAGGAAUGAACAAUGGGGAAAGAAAAUAUUUAAAACACAAUAUCAAAUGAUAUAAGUUAAAGAUAAAUACAUCUGUUGGUACAGCAAUCAUUACUCUCCUUUCCACCAUGGCCUGUUCUGAGAGGACCAUCAUGCAACUUCUGUUAAACGACACAAUGUAUCUAGGCUCCAUAUCAAAAUUUGUUUUGAGCUGGGUUCUAUAUUUCAUCUGUUAACACUGAGCUGCAAUGAAAAAUUGAGUAAGAAUUUAUUCACCUCAAGGACAAGGAGAAAAUUUGUGUAUUUGGGGGGUGGGGAGUGGGGCAAAAGAGCCUUUGAAACAGAUAAACAUAUUCAAUAUGAAACCAGCUGGUUUGAUUGAUCUGUAAAGUCCUCUGGGAGACUUUGUAAUUGAAAUGUAGACUAGGAGUGCUUCA